ensembl:lncRNA
CUUUCAGUGGAAGCAGUGGUUUGUCAUCAGGAGAAAUAUUUCACUGAGAAAAGGGGAGAGAGAGAAGAGGUGAGGCAGUGACAAGAAGCAGAAAAACUGCAGGUUCCAUCUUUUCUCUGUGCCACCACUGAGCUACAAAAGGGCAUUUCUUGAAGAAUCAGCAGCAGUAGAGUUUAGUUAAUGUGUGCGUUUGACAUUCUUGGAUAAGAGGUAGCAAAGAAGGUGGAAGUAAUUUGGACUGUGAAGAAACAGCUGCAUUUCAGCCCAAAGGUGGCUUCGGGUCACUGCCAAACGUAAAGAUUUCUGCCUUCCUGCGCCCACUGCAGAGGCUGAAUUGACCACUCUGCAGACCGACAAAAACUGGUUGCUUAAUGGAGAUAUUUUUCUCAUAAAGCCUGAGCGAAGCUGUGCUCAAUACGUGUGGGGAUACAAUAGAUUAGAUAGUUUGUAGAAUGCGUUAAUAGAGUUCUCAAAGCACUUCUCUAUCCAUCUCCGUGAAAGGCGUUACAUAAAUGUGAGCUCGUUUGUUAUCAUUAUCUCUCUUUGUCUCUUUGCAGGGUGGGUAAUUUGCUGGGUUAUCGGGCUAUGUGUGUUUAAAAACACAUGAUAGAUGUAACCUCAGCAGACAGUCACUGGUUUUCUCAUUCUUAAGAGCAGAAACGUUUCCUUAACCACUCUGUAGCUGCUAUCAGCAGAUCCUAUCAGCUCUGACUCAGCGACAGAACAACCCCAGUGCACCAGAAAUAGAAGCCGUGAGUUCUGCUGGCUCCUUCUGAGCCUGUUAAAGCACUCCAACCGAACAUCCAUUUGCUGAUACACCUUUCUGCAGGUGCACCUCUCCACAGAGCACAGACCUGACUUGACAUUCCCUUUAACCAGAACGGAACUGCUUAAUUAGAAGUAAUUCAGCAUUUCACAGGAUGUUGCUGGGAAGUUCUCUUACUCUGCCUUCUUCCCGAGUUCGGCAAUUGGAACAGCCUUGUGAAAUACCCGGCACAACAACACACAGACUGCUUCAGUCAGAACCACAAAGGUUUGGUUUUACGAUGAGCAAAGAGGAGGCAACAGCCAAGAGACCUGGAUCCAACCGAACAAACCCUGAGCGGAGCACGCAGCCCAGGCUGGUCCACGUAGUGUUCCCCAUUAACGUCCUUACCCUUGGCAAAAAACAAAAACCUCUUCCUACGCAUGAGAGAUGUAAUCAUCCAUGGAAGGAGCACGAUUCUAUAGUUCCUUUUUUUUACCGUUCCCUCAAAACAAACCACUUGAAACCUUUUCCUUAUUCCCAGGAUAUUUCAAACCCAAGCUCCCAAUACAGAGUGACACAACACUCAGCACUGAUUUUGCAGGUUUCGGUGGGUUUGAUGGCUGUUGUGGCACUGCUGAGAUUCCAGCAGGCUUCUAAGAAAUAAUGUGACUCGACUUAUUAUAAUUAAUGGAAGCAGGAUGAAUAUAUACACGAUCUUCUCAUUUACACAGGGGAACGUCCAUACAGCUGGAAAGCAAAGGCGUCUCUACGUGGUAAAAUAAGCACUACAUAAAUCUAAUGUAUGAAUUUAUAGUACACUAAUGACUUCCCAUUAAACUGCUGAUUGAGCAGUCAGGAUGUGGCAAGCAUGAGAAGCUCACUCCGCUUCCAAGGACCAUGCCAAGAGCUUCUGUCCUUGGAAGCAAUGCAGUGCAGCUAGCAUAGUCUAGGUUUGCAGUGUCACUUAUUUUGCGUGUGCCAUGCAGAAAAGCCCUCCUAAAUAACAGCAAAAGGCAAUCAGACCCACAGACCACAUACUGGCAGCGUUGCUACUGUACUUGAGUCAAAGCAGGGCAGUGCUGAUGUUCUCAAGUUUGGAUGGCAUCCAAUUCUCGAAGCAAAGUGCAAAGCGCUGUGAGAAACGCCAACAGAACCACGCACGCCCCGGGUGCUGAGGAGCUCAGAGGUCUGCAGUCCUUCACCUCCUGAAGAUCACCCACUGUCCCCACUGCCCAUCCCAGUGCUGCCUGUGGCCUCGCUGGGCUCCGGCCUCUCGCUGCAGUGUCAGCCUGGGAAGCUCCAGCUCUGCUCACAGCCGGACGCCUCCGGCUCCGCUUACCGCCUGGCAGCAGCUCCCGGGUCAUUCCAGUUACACCCACUAUCUGCAGCUUCUUAAGCCUUAUAUCUUGGAAGAGGAAUCAAUAGCAUACCCAGCCCUAAUGGCAUCCUUGCCGGCAGAGAACCUUCAAUGUCAUAAGAGCUCCACUCCCCUACUAAAAGCUAUGCUUUAGAGAAGGGCUGUGCCCCACAGCAGGCAAAUGCAAUGACUUCCUACUGCAUUAUGGCAUUUUUACCUAUCCUGCCUUGAAAGCCUUGUUGCAUUUCAAUCCAGGUGUUCCAAGCUAUCCCCAGCAGCAGCACAGAGUGGCUGUGGCACAGGCAGCAGCUGCCCCUCCAGCGCCAGCAGAGCUCUCUGCCAGCUCCUCCCUGCGUGCAGGCAGAGCUCCCUGCUCAGGGCUCACAGGACACCCGUGUGCACAGACCUGCGGACACCCACAAGCCGUCCCCCACCCCAUACGUGCUUGGAACCCCCUCAGAGCCGUCCUGCCAUCUGUCCGUCCUCCCUUCAGGCACGGAGGCAUGCCCAGCCUCCACAGACAUUACCAUAACAGAGCACAGAGCGUGGGAGAAGGAGAGCAAGAGACUGUGCAAAAUAAUAAGUAAUCGCAGGAAGAAACUGGGGCACAACAGUGUCUGUGGCUUUUGAUGUUUCCCUCCUGUCCCGCCCUGCCUUCCUCCUGGGGAAAGGGAAUGCUGCAAGGUGGGACCAGGCCCUGGCUGCUUCUGUACGGAGCACCAGCAGGAUUACGGAUAAAUAUUGAAGCUAUCAAAGAAGCUUAAGGGAUUUAGGAACCCACUCCCCAUUAUUAUCCUCUCUGCAGCAGGGGGAAGCGAUCUUGUGCAGAGACCUCGAGCACACACCAGGACUGCGCAGGCUGCUGAAAUGCCCCACGCCUGUUACAAAUGUCCCCUCCUUUGUUGGGCAGGGAAAAAACCAACCGGUGCUGUUUGUUAUAAUAAAUGGAGCCAAGGUUUGUGCCUGGCUUAGUGCAGGGAGGAUGGGGUAGGGGGGGAGGGCAGACCCACGGCGCAGGGAGCUGCAUGCACAGCAGUCGUCUGCCUCCUACCCUGGGAAAUCCCGGACAGAAAAGAGCCCAGGGACCAUCUCGGAGGAAAAGCCAUUGGCCCUUCUGGUGCCUGCAGAGAGGGACAGAAGUUACCGUACAAAUCAAUUCCAAAACGGAGAGGCGGAUGUGGGAUGCUUCAGACCUGCCCUCCAUUCAAAGCUUCUGCCGAAGAUUCACAACAGAACUUCAUUAACAAAACAUGACGGCGGGCCCCAUUCCCCCUCCCGGCUCCCAGUUCCUGCUGUAGGACAGCUCAGCUGAUGGUAAAACGAUUCUUGGUGUGUGUGCCAGCACAGGGAGCGCCACCCCGAGCCCCGGCCCCUGCUGCAGCUCUCCUGCAGUCCUGGCUGAUGCAGGAGCAGACCUCGAGCAGCCAGAAUGGUUUCUCUGCCACACUUUGUAGGGAACGCUGCAGUUUUAAACCACAAAUUAAAUUUUUAAUGAAACUUCAUAACGGUUGUACCCAAAUGUAAUGUAAUAUUGAUAGGAGCUGUGCAUCCAGCUAGCAUGAGAUUGCCCUAGAAAGCUUUUUAGGAUGUUAUGCAAUGUAUGGUUAAAUUAAUUAUUUGUAAUGAAAGGACCUGUGCCCCUAUAGCAGCGCUGAUGUGCCGGCACAAGGAGCACACUCCUCGUUCUGGCUGGAUGUAAAUGUCAGGCGUUUCAGGAGGAAACUGACUUCUGAGAUGGGAACGAUGAAAGAGAGGGAAGGAAAAAGGAGGAGAGACCGAAUGUGUGUGAGAGAGACAGAGAGAAAUGGAGAGGGAGAGAUCUGCAAAGAAAGACUGCAGCAAAAUGCAGCAGAUUUCAGAACUCCGGUCCAAAGUGUUGGUCUGUUACAGGAGGGAAUACUCCAUCUUCCAGGCGGUGCAUUUGCACUGACUGCACGCCCCGCUCAGGCUGUCCUAAUGAGAUCUGUAAAUUUUUGAAGGCAUUAAAAAUACAUAUUCUGCAUAUGCACAGCUCUGCAGCCUUCAGCGGGGCGGUGUGCGCUCACCUCCCGGCCCUCACUGUGCUGCACAGGGCAUGGGGCUCACCCCACACGUGGCACCACACAGAGCCGGGUGCUGUCCUUGCUGCGUUCCCAGCACCCAUCCUGGUGCCACAUCCGGGCGCACGGGGAGCGGGGCUGCAGCAAUGAGCCCCGGGGACGUCGGCUCUGCCAUCCCCCAGAGGCACCAACUGCACUUCUCGCUUUGCCCAUUACCGUUUCCCAUCGCAAAGCUGUCUCCAUCCCAUAAUGGAUCAUAUUGCACAGAGGAGACUUAGCUGUGGAAUCAGCAUUCCCCCCAAGGAGGAUGGUUCGUGUGCAGCCGCUUCCACAAACAGGAGAGAGAGCUUCCACUCCCUGCUCUGCGUCCGGCCCCUGGGAUCACAGACAUCCACUUCCAAAGUGCCCUUUGCACAUCAGUGGCAAAGUGGGGCUGGGGCUGAACACCUCUGAGCAGCAGCUCUGCGCUGGAUGCUGGCCCAAGAGGACUGCUGGCCCCAGGGGGGGCACCGCAGGCUGUCCAAAAUCCUCCGAAGCACAGACGCAAAUGUUCCUGCUGGCUCCUGCUCAGCACCACACCACCUCCGAGCGGCCCGGAUAGCUGCGCUCAGCUCUUUCCAUCUACAGAGCGAUAAAUCAGCCACGGGGAACGCCUGGGGAGAGGCGAGAGAAGAGUUAAAAAUAAUAGGGGCUCCAUUAUUCCAUUAUGUCUCUCCGGCUCCUAAAUCUGCAAAAGCAAUAACGGAUCUCACUGCAUGAUUCAGUGGUUCUGGGAAAGCUGAAUUCUCGAUCAUAUUUUCUCGUUCUUUCUUCACACGCGGAGACACGGGGGGUUACUGUGCGGAUCUGCUGGAGCGCAGCUCUGUUGUUUUUUCCUAUCCAGGUAUUUAUACGGUCUCCAUCACCAUAGUAUCAGAGUGUUUAUUUUACUGCACCUGUCACCUUGGUCUCCUCUCAGCAUAAUGUACUGUGGAUGACAAAAGCUCCCUAGUUAAAUUGGUUCAGUGACACGAACAGCUUUGUCAAUACCACGCAGAUGUUCACAGAGGUGGGCACCGAUUCCGCCGCCUCCCAGACCCGUUUUACACCCGUGGAACUGUACUGCCUGCAGUAACAUUGUCUUCCGUUUGCAUUGCCGCCUGUGGAGCAAGAAUUGGACCUGCAGUCUUUUCAGCCUUUUCCACAGCAUCCCUUUAUCCAAGGGAAAGGCACUAACCAGCAUUGGAAGGGAGAGGCCUGCCCAGCGUCCACCCCUGCCCAGCAUCCCUGUGCCCUCCCCUCACACCCACCCCUCUGCUCCAGUCUGGCUGCAUCCAAACACGGCACAGCACAAAGAGCAGAGGAGAGGAGAGCAAAGCACACAGCCCCGGGGCUGGGCUCCUCCGGGCUCCGCAGCUCCGAGCUGAGGGCAGGGACAGCACUGGCAGCGGCUCUGGGAAGGAUCCUGGUGAGCAGCCCCUGUGACCCCGAGGUCACUGUGCGUGUUGGUGGCUCUGGUGGCACCGAGCAGUGACAGCACUUCGGAGCACUGCAGAACGGCUGAGCGCUGGCACCAUCCCGGGCUCCACGGCCACACGUGUCCCGGUGCUGCCAGCAGGAAGCACUCUGUGUCACAGAACUCGGGGGCAGGUGAGCACAUGUGAUAAAAAGGCAACGGGGAUAACUUGGCAUUAUGUAAAUACUCCAGCCAUAUGGGCUGCUGCAGUGCAGCUUUGGAGGGGCAAGCGCUGAACCGAGCCGAAAGGACCGAAUUCACGCACGGUGCGAUCGGAAACCGCUCCUCAGGCGCCCCGCGGCCCCGCGCGGCCCCGCAAAAAGCCAACGGACGGCGCUGGGGAACGGCGCGGGGAGCGGCA